rnacentral:rRNA from 1 species
CAGGCGCGAAAACUUUACAAUGCACGAAAGUGUGAUAGGGGGAUGCUCAGUGCUUACGAUUCUGUCGUAGGCUUUUGUCGUUCGUAAACAGAACGGUGGAUAAGUGGUGGGUAAGACUGGUGCCAGCCGCCGCGGUAA